rnacentral:snoRNA from 1 species
CUAUGAAUAUUCUUGCUGUUCUCAUUUUGUAAUAAUCAGGGCAGAUUAAACAUGUACUAUAAUAAAACCAUGCAUGUGUCCCUACACUUAGUUUAUUACCUACAGGUCUACCUAGUUCAUUACCUACAGGUCUGGUCUUAAAAAGCUGGUGA